CCUGGCUCAGAACGAACGCUGGCGGCAGGCUUAACACAUGCAAGUCGAGCGCCCCGCAAGGGGAGCGGCAGACGGGUGAGUAACGCGUGGGAACGUACCCUUUACUACGGAAUAACGCAGGGAAACUUGUGCUAAUACCGUAUGUGCCCUUCGGGGGAAAGAUUUAUCGGUAAGGGAUCGGCCCGCGUUGGAUUAGCUAGUUGGUGGGGUAAAGGCCUACCAAGGCGACGAUCCAUAGCUGGUCUGAGAGGAUGAUCGGCCACAUUGGGACUGAGACACGGCCCAAACUCCUACGGGAGGCAGCAGUGGGGAAUAUUGGACAAUGGGCGCAAGCCUGAUCCAGCCAUGCCGCGUGAGUGAUGAAGGCCCUAGGGUUGUAAAGCUCUUCCACCGGAGAAGAUAAUGACGGUAUCCGGAGAAGAAGCCCCGGCUAACU
rnacentral:rRNA from 1 species